AUUGAACGCUGGCGGCAGGCCUAACACAUGCAAGUCGAACGAGUGGCGGACGGGUGAGUAAUGUCUGGGAAACUGCGCGAUGGAGGGGGAUAACUACUGGAAACGGUAGCUAAUACCGCAUAACAUAGGCUGUGCCGAGGUGGGAUUAGCUAGUAGGUGGGGUAACGGCUCACAUAGGCGACGCUCCCUAGCGGGUCUGAGAGGAUGACCAGGCACACUGGAACUGAGACACGGUCCAGACUCCGACGUGAGGCAGCAGUGGGGAAUAUUGCACAAGGGGCGCAAGCCUGAUGCAGCCAUGCCGCGUGUAUGAAGAAGGCCUGCGGGUUGUAAAGUACUUUCAGCGAGGAGGCGUUACUCGCAGAAGAAGCCCCGGCUAACUCCGUGCCAGCAGCCGCGGUAAUUC
rnacentral:rRNA from 1 species